CCCCCCCCCACCACCACCAAGCUGCCCACCAGAGGCCAAGCUGUACUUGGUGUUUGCCAACAUGCUGUAAUUUCCAGCCUGGUUGCUGUAGCCACAGAGGAAUUUUCAAGGACAAGAACCAGUGCUGGUAAAACUGUGGUCUCUGUGGUUUUCCAUACCGGCUCUCGGCAAGGAUUUUCAAGAAAGGAAUACCAUCUCCAAAUCAUGAUGUGCCAAUAAGCUCCAGUUAGCUGCGGCCUUUUCCCCAGGCGGUAGUCCUGCAAUCUGAAUCCAGGAGAUGCAGCUCUGAAUCCAAUAUUUCAGAAGAAUGAAGAUGAAGCAGACCCAGGAGGAACUGUCUGUUGAAGACCUCCCCCCCCCCCACCACCACCAAGCUGCCCACCAGAGGCCAAGCUGUACUUGGUGUUUGCCAACAUGCUGUAAUUUCCAGCCUGGUUGCUGUAGCCACAGAGGAAUUUUCAAGGACAAGAACCAGUGCUGGUAAAACUGUGGUCUCUGUGGUUUUCCAUACCGGCUCUCGGCAAGGAUUUUCAAGAAAGGAAUACCAUCUCCAAAUCAUGAUGUGCCAAUAAGCUCCAGUUAGCUGCGGCCUUUUCCCCAGGCGGUAGUCCUGCAAUCUGAAUCCAGGAGAUGCAGCUCUGAAUCCAAUAUUUCAGAAGAAUGAAGAUGAAGCAGACCCAGGAGGAACUGUCUGUUGAAGACCUCCCCCCCCCCACCACCACCAAGCUGCCCACCAGAGGCCAAGCUGUACUUGGUGUUUGCCAACAUGCUGUAAUUUCCAGCCUGGUUGCUGUAGCCACAGAGGAAUUUUCAAGGACAAGAACCAGUGCUGGUAAAACUGUGGUCUCUGUGGUUUUCCAUACCGGCUCUCGGCAAGGAUUUUCAAGAAAG